GAGGAAAGGGCCCGUUCCUCUGAAGACGAUGACUUGCCAAUCUCCACUUCAGACAAUGUGGAUGAACUUCCAAGACGUUCAACUAGGAACAGGAAACCACCAGAACGACUUCGCUACGCAAAACUUGGACAACCAGUAUUCGACACCUUCCAUACACUUGUUCAUGGGUUGGCUACGGCCUUCACAUAUGCCUUAACAGACACUGAGUUUCCCUUGCACACAUUGCAGCAACCAAUUAGCACACAACCAGGUCCAUGUCCGAGACGUACAUGAGAUCAGGGGGGGAAAGUGUAACCCAGGUUAAAAACCUUCAAUCCUAGCAGGCUCCCGUAGCUCAUUAUAAAUGGCAGCCAGAUCACUUCCGUUUCCUUUGCUGGUCGUUUGUGAUGCUGGUUGCUACGUUGAUGCUACAUGCUACACACAGGGAUUCCUCCACGAUUCCUAAACAGAUUAACGUUUGGUUAACAAUUGCUGCAAUCAGCGGUCAGGUUUUUUGUUUGGAUAUAUUUUUUUGCCAGGUGCUGAUGACCUGAUGACCUUUCAUUGACCUUGAUGGCGAGCUAAGAUUCUAAACCUAUCCUCCCUGCCAUAUGGUAAAGUAGGAUUAAACGGAAAUUAAUGAACUUUACCCUGGAAGCUUUUCUUUUGUUGUCUUUUGCCUUUACUGGGCAUCUGAAAAUAAUCGUGUGAAUUUGAAGGAACUUGUUGAUAUCUUGAAUACAACUAUUUUGUAACGCA